CCUACGGGCGGCAGCAGUGAGGAAUAUUGGUCAAUGGACGAGAGUCUGAACCAGCCAAGUAGCGUGAAGGAUGACUGCCCUAUGGGUUGUAAACUUCUUUUAUAUGGGAAUAAAAUGUUCGACGUGUGGGAUUUUGUAUGUACCAGAUGAAUAAGGAUCGGCUAACUCCGUGCCAGCAGCCGCGGUAAUACGGAGGAUCCGAGCGUUAUCCGGAUUUAUUGGGUUUAAAGGGAGGGGAGGUGGAGAGUUAAGUCAGUUGUGAAAGUUAGCGGCUCAAACGAAGAAUUGCAGUUGAAACUGGCAGUGUUGAGUACAGGAGAGGUGAGCGGAA
rnacentral:rRNA from 1 species